rnacentral:rRNA from 1 species
AAGGUAGCAUAAUCAAUAGUCUUUUAAUUGAAGGCUUGGAUGAAAGGUUUGAUGAAGGAAGAGCUGUCUCUUCGAUUUAUAUUGAAUUUAACAUUUGUGUGAAAAGGCAUAAAUAAUUUAAAGGGACGAUAAGACCCUAUAAAACUUUACAUAUUGAAAUUGUUUAAUGAAAUUGAUGAUUAAUUAUUGGGCGGUUAAUUUUGUUUUGCUGGGGCGGCAUGAAUAUAAUUUUAACUGUUUUUAAUAUAAAAUACAUAUUAGUAUAGUUUGGUCCUUUAUUAGGGAGAGUAGAGUAAGUUACUUUAGGGAUAACAGCAUAAUUUCUUUUGAGAGUUCGUAUCGAAGAAGGUAGUUG